rnacentral:lncRNA from 1 species
CAAGCAGAAAGCUCUUGGAUAAUAGGUGUGUGCUAAAGUUGAGUCGCACCACAACUAAAAGCAGUUGUUUCCAGUAAAUAACAUAAUCUCAGGGUUCACAGUGUGAUUAAACAUCGUGUAACACUUGUUAGCUGGCAGAGGUAGCUUAUCCCUUUAAUCCCAGCCCUCAGGAAGCAGAGUCAGGUGGAUCUCCGGGAGUUCCAGGACAGCUAGGGCUACAAACAAAAAGACUGUUCUAAUCAAAGUUACUUUCUUCCUGAGGCAGAGACACACUAUGGAAGAAAACAAAAAGUAACAACUCCAGGUUGCUCUUCUGUAAAGAUUAAAGGCUAGGGAACUGGGAACUCUACUGUCAUGCUCACGGAAAUCCACCCUCUCCUGAUUUCCCAAAAGGGUGCAAUAGAACCCAACUUCAACUCGUAAGUGGACCGAGACAGGUAGUUCACUUGAUUAUUAUUCUAAUGUAAGAGGAGCUGAAUGAUCAAGGUGGAGUGGAAACCCCGGAUUGGGGGCUGGAGAGAUGGCUCAGCGGUUAAGAGCACUGACUGCUCUUCCAGAGGUCCUGUGUUCAAUUCCCAGGAACCACAUGGUGGCUCACAACCAUCUGUAAUGGGAUCCAAUGCUCUCUUCUGGUGUGUCUG